rnacentral:pre_miRNA from 1 species
CAAGUACUCUCUCCGUCCGAAAAUACUUGUCAUCAAAAUGGAUAAAAAAAGAUGUAUCUAGAACUAAUAUACAUCUAGAUACAUCCCCUUUUAUUCAUUUUGAUGACAAGUAUUUCCGGACGGAGGGAGUACUAC